UUACUCGUCGUUACUGGGCGUAUAGGAUACGUAGACGGUUCCAAAAUGCUAGUUACUUAAACUAUUUGGUUAGGGGUUAGUAAUUUGGGUACUUGGUUUAGUUAGGGGCUGCGCGCAGGUGUACGUUAGCGAUAAAAUGCAUAAAAUGUAUGCUGGUUUCCAACAGUGAAAACACACAGCUAUAACUAAUCGACGUUGAGGUAUGAAGGUAUGGGUGUCGAUCGGGAUUAGAGACCCCAGUAGUCCAUACUACAAAAGAUGAGUAUUCCAAUAAUACAAAACUUGGAAGCUAACGCGAUAAAUACUCCGCCUGGGAAGUACGGCCGCAAGGUUAAAACUUAAGAGAUUUGGCGGGAAUUUGUUCGAACGGUGGAACAUGUGGUUUAAUUCGAUAAUCCACGAAAAAUCUUACCAGUGUCGUAAUACAUUAGAAUCGAAGAGGUAAUGCUAUCUAUCGAUUUUUUAGUGUUAACAAGGUGCUGCAUGGCUGUCGUCAGUUCGUGCUGUGAAGUGUAAAGUUAAGUCUUGUGAACGAACAAAAUCUCUCGAAUUUAUUAGUUAAGUUGCUUUACUUUUUGCAACUUAGCGCGAAAAGUUUGAUAUAAGUUGUUUAGCCUAAAAUCAAAAAAAAUUGUUUUUACUUUUUAUUUGAUUGGUUUAUCUUUAGUAUAUCGUCGUAUUUUUAAUUUUUGCAAAAAAAAUCAAACAACUACCCGAUAUGGGCAAGUUUUUGACAAUUUUUGUAAAAAUUAAAAAUACGAAUAUACUAAUUAGAUAGGUUUAUUAAACAACUUGUUUUGAUAUAGAGCUGAAGUCAAGUCCUUAUGGCCUGUAUAUGCUGGGCUACACACGUGUUACAAGGGUAGAGACAGAGAGUAGCGAAUGUGUGAACAGGAGCAAGUCUCUAAAAAUUACCUCAGUUCGGAUUGUUUUAUGUAACUCUAAAACAUGAAGUUGAAAUCGUUAGUAAUUACACUUGAGUAUGGUGUAGUGAAUGAAAAGUCAAAUUUUGCACACACUGCCCAUCACGCCCGAAGAGUUGAUCCGGAGGGAAGGUGACUAUGCCGCUAUGGAGAUUUGUGGUAAAACAAAUCCCUUACUUUAGUUAGUCGUCUGCGGAUGGCGGAUUUUGUUCAUCGAAAUCAGUUUGUAUUUGUGUAAUUGACACAAGG
rnacentral:rRNA from 1 species